rnacentral:rRNA from 1 species
AUUGAACGCUGGCGGCAUGCUUUACACAUGCAAGUCGAACGGUAACAGGCCUUCGGGUGCUGACGAGUGGCGAACGGGUGGGUAAUGCAUCGGAACGUGCCCAGAGGUGGGGGAUAACGCAGCGAAAGCUGUGCUAAUACCGCAUGUGAUCUGAGGAUGAAAGCGGGGGACCAGGCAGCAAUGUUUGGCCUCGCGCCUUUGGAGCUGCCGAUGUCAGAUUAGGUAGUUGGUGGGGUAAAGGCCUACCAAGCCGACGAUCUGUAGCUGGUCUGAGAGGACGACCAGCCACACUGGGACUGAGACACGGCCCAGACUCCUACGGGAGGCAGCAGUGGGGAAUUUUGGACAAUGGGCGCAAGCCUGAUCCAGCAAUGCCGCGUGCGGGAAGAAGGCCUUCGGGUUGUAAACCGCUUUUGUACGGAACGAAAAGGAUCUGGCUAAUACCUGGGGCUGAUGACGGUACCGUAAGAAUAAGCACCGGCUAACUACGUG